rnacentral:rRNA from 1 species
AGGUGAUAUAUUGAAAAAAGGUAUAUGUAAUAAAUAUUAUUUUAAGGAUUACGAAUCAAAAUUUAAAUAAUGAUAAAAAGAUCAAAACUGUAAUAAACAGUGAUCAAUCAUAAUCAUGAAAAUGAAAAAAAAUAAAAACAAGUGGAAUGAAACAUCUGAGUAACUUGUUAAAUAACCAACAGGGAUAAUAUAAGUAACGGUGAGUGAAAAUAUAAAAAUCUUAAAGUAUUGCCAAGAGGUAAGAAUAAAGUAGUUUCCAACUACUAAGAAAUAAAAUUAAAUUUUAGAUUAAAGUACCGCAAGGGAAAGUAAAGAAAUAGAAUAAUAAAGAGCAGUUAUAGUAUAACGUACCUCUUGUAUAAGUGCGACAAGAAGCAUUAAUAAUUAAUGUGGUUAAAUUCCACCAAAUCUUUUCCAUUGAUUUGACCCUAUCUAUACAUGCUGAAGGAGUAAUCAUCAGUGUGAAGCUAUAGAGACAAUGUAACAAUAAUCCCAUCUUUAAUAUAUAUUAAAGGUCGGAGUGCUAGGGUGAGUAAUUCUAUGAUGAACAAAAGUGAACAUGCCUGGAGGCUUCGUAAGAGGUGUAUCAAAUUUAACAACAGCUAGCUGUAGUAAAAAAUGAUAACUGUUAAGUCAAAUCUUUCUUAUACUGGGGUUUGAAAUGGAACAUAUUUAACACGGAGUAAAGCAUAGCAUCUAAGGAAUUUAGAUUAUAUAGUUUAUACUGUAUAAUACUCGGUAUUAAUUUAUUAAAUUAAUUCCGGGAGUAAUGUAAUUAUUAGUGAACUUGGUAAGCCCUAAAUUCUCUAAAUAUGGGCCCCCCCGAAGGGGGGGCCGAUAUUAUAUACCCCCCGAAGGGGGGGGAUAAAUAUUAAUUUAUUUAGAGGUAACAUAUAAAGAGAAAUUGGAAGUUGUUAUAACGAAUUCAGGGUAUAAGAAUGAUUCAAAAAGCGAAUGCAGAUUAGUAAUAGAUCUGAUAGAGUUUUAUAACUUAAUCCGAGAGGAUGCAGACUUGAAUCAAUGUGAUCAUCGUAACUAUUCAGCCCCUAAAAAGGCGAUAUGAUAAUCUGAAGCUUUCGGUAGAUUAUUAUAGGAAUCUUGUCUAUUUAACCGGUUUAACCGGAAUAUUCAUCUAAGGUUCAAAAUUGUAAAUUACAAUUAAGGAAAUAAAGUAGUAUCGAUUUAUUAAUUAAUUAUUUACCUUUGGGUAAAUUUUUAAGGAAGUAAAUUGGCGAAUAAAAGAACUUUUAUAAAUAAAUAAGCUUAUUAAAAUUAUUAUAUGUUAAUAAUGAAAAAAUGUCAAAACAGUAAAUAAGACAAACUAAGUUAAAUGGUUAACUCGAUAAAAUACCAUUAAGUUAUUAGUGUUGCUAAAAAAAAAAAUUUAUAUUCGAUUUGAAUGUUUAACACUAUUUAUUGGGUGAAUUAUUUGAUCAAAUAAAAAAACGAAAUAUAAUAAAUAACAAAGAUAAAAAUUUUUAAACUUAAACUUAAACAAAAAAAACAUGAUGAGAAUUUUAAUGGAAUCCAGAUUAUAUGCUGGCAAAUAUAUAUUAACAUCCUUUAGAGGAUAUAGAAAUUAUUUAUUAGGAAUGAUGUGAUAUAAAGGAUUAUUUAUAAAUAAGAAUUUUAUAUUUGCAACAGGUGUAAGAUUUAAAAGUAUAAAUAAAAAAUCGAAAGAUUCCCGGCUUAGUCGGGUUAAUUCAAAUAUUUGACAUAUGAUAAAUUGAGAGAAAGCUGAAAAAAAAGUAAAAGAUCUACAAGAGAAAAUAGUUAUUGCUACAUUAAAUAAUGAUAUAAAAGAAGUGUAUAAAUUACAAUGAAUUUUAUUACAAAGUUUUGAAGCUAAAAGUUUGGCAAUAAGAAAAGUUGUAACUAAUAAAAAUGGGAAAACAGCCGGAAUAGAUGGUAUAAUAUGAAAUAAUCCAAAAGAUUAUUCAUUAGCUAUCUUAGAAUUAUCCGCUAUUUUGAAAAAUCCUCAUAAUUAUAAAUCAAAACCCUUAAAAAGAAUAAAUAUUCUAAAAGAUAAUUAUUCAAAGGAAUUAAGGUCUAUAAUUAUUCCUACAAUGAUAGAUAGAGCUGUUCAAACUAUAUACUAUUUAGCUAUAGAUCCUGCAGUAGAAACUAAAUCUGAUCCUCAUUCAUAUGGGCAUAGAAAAAAUAGAUCUACUCAUGAUGCCAUUACUUCAAUAAGAGGUUUAACUGAUAAAAGUUAUCAUCCUAGAUGAAUUUUAAAAGUUGAGAUAUCUAAAUGUUUUGAUAAAUUAGAUCAUAAUUUUUUAUUAAAGCAUACCCCGAUAUGUCAUAAAUCUGUUUUAAAAGAAUGACUUAAAACUGGAGUAAUGGAAGAAUUAAAUUACAUUGAAAGAGUGGAUAAUAUACCCCAAGGAGGUAUUAUAUCUCCCUUGCUUUGUAAUAUAGCAUUUAAUGGUUUAGAGAAAUUCAUUAAAGAUGCUAAUCCCCCUAAUAAAAAAAAAAUAAAAGCAAAAGUAUAUGUUAUAAGAUAUAUUGAUAAUAUAAUUAUAACAGGUAUAACUAAAGCAUUAGUAAUUCGUAAUAAAGAAUUAUUAAUUCAAUUUUUAAAGAUUAGGGGUUUAGAACUUAAUGAAAAAAAUACUCUAAUUUCUCAUAUAAAAAAAGGAUUUGAUUUUUUAGGAUUUAAUAUUCGAAGAAUGAAAUGAAAUUUUAAACUUAAUAAUUCUAGUAAACAAGAUACUGUAUUAAUUAUUAAACCUUCGAAAGAAGCGAUAAGUAUUUUGAAAAAUACUAUUAAAAAUAUAAUAACUAUGAAUAAACCUUUAAUCACUAUAAUUAGGACAUUAAAUCCUAUUUUAAGUAAAUGAGGGGUAAAUAAGAGAAUAUCUUAUCAUUCACAGGAAACUUUUAUUAGUAUUGAACAUUAUAUUUAUAUAAAAAUGAAAAAAUGAGUAUAUUGAAAAGGAGGAUCAUUAAGAAAAAAAAUGAGAAAUUACUUGCUGACUACUGAAACAAGAAAAUGAAAUUGAGGUAUUUCUUUAAAGGAUAAACUUAUUAAUAUAAGUGAAAUACCUAUCAUAUUAUUAAGACCUUUAAAACUUGACAGAAAUCCAUAUUUGUCUGAAAAUAUUGAAUAUUUUAAUAUUAGAAAGUCACAUAUUGAAAUGGAUAAUUUCAGAGCAGCCAUUUAUAAAAAGUACAAACAUACAUGUCCUAUAUGUAAAAGUACUCUAUAUAAUGGGGAACUAGUGGAAUUGCAUCACAUCAUUCCACAAAAAGCCCAAGGAAAAUAUAGUUUAACCAAUAUACUUCCACUUCAUCAAGUUUGUCAUAAACAGGUUACCCAUGGUAACCUGUCUUUAGAAAGAUUUAAGAUAGCUUUACCAAAAAAGGCUAUCAAGAGUCGGAAUAAAAAACAAACUUAAUUUAGGGAUCCUAGGAUCUCUAAUCCCGGCAAUAGGCCGGGUAUUCGUUAAAAAUCGGUAAAAUAUACUGAAGUAUAAUAACGAAUAUUAUAUCAUAAAUUAUUGGCUAAGAAAAAGUAAGGAACGAUUCUCCAAAACGAGGGAUAGAAAUUACAUUCGAGUAUGGUUGCAUGAGCCGUAUGCGAUGAAAGUCGCACGUACGGUUCUAAUGGGGGGAAAGCCUGAGAGGGCCUACCUAUCCUGAUUGGGCCAGUGAGUUAUAUAAUUUAGUGAAAAAAAAAUAAAUUUUUAUAUAUAAAUAGAAAAAAAUUAAAUUAUAUAGGCCCGAAAGCAAACGAUCUACACAUGUCCAAGUGUAUAUAUAAUCAAUAAUAGGUUUAUAUAUGACUCAAUAGGUAAUUGUAGCAAUAAUUUCUAAAGAGGUGUGUGUAGCUGUGACAGACAAAUCUGGUUUGCAGAUAGCUGGUUUUCUGCGAAAUAUAUUUUAGUAUAGCCUUUAUACAUAUUUAAACUGGUACAGCACUUAAAUAACUUUGGGGAAUUAGAAUAUAAUUUUAUCAAAAUAUUUAAACCUCGAAAUCAGUUAAUAAUAAUAUAAGGAGUCAGACUUAUUGCGAUAAGGUAGUAGGUCGAGAAGGAAACAACCUAGACUAUUAAAUGAAUGUCCCAAAUAUUAAUUAAGUGAACAAAAUCUAUCCUACUUUUAUAAAAAUAAUAAUAUGCCCGCCGAAGGCGGGAUAUAAUAUCCCAUUCAUUAGUGAAGGGAUAUCUAUAAAAUUAUUAAAUAAAUAAUAUAUGAGGUAUUAAAUUAUAGACAAUUAGUAAGUGGGUUUGACAAUAAUCAACUUUUAAUGAACAUGUAACAAUGCACUAAUUUUAUAUAUAUAUAUAAAUAUAUAUAUUUAUUAAUAAUAGAGAAAAUAUAUCGGGUCUAAAUUAAUAACAGUAUUAUAGAUAUAAUGAAAAAGAUGAUCAUUAUAUGGUAGCAGAAUAUAUAAUGAAAAAUUAUAAAGAGAUUGCUGGCUUGAGUAACGAUAGAUAAUAUAAGAUUAUCCCCUUAUUCAUAAGGUUUUACUAUAAACGAACGGUCCCUAAGAUAAUUAUAGAAAUAUAAAAUUGAUGGGUGAAAGAACAAGAAAAAAGAAAUGAACCGUACUGUAGACCGACACAGGUAUGAUAAAAAGGGAAUGGGAUAACUACUUUGAAUGAACUCGGCAAAAUAAAUCGUGCGACUGUUUACCAAAAACAUAGCUUAUUGCAUACUAGUAAUAGUAAGUAUAAUAAGUGAUAUCUGCCCGGUGUUAGUUUAAUAAAUAUUAUUAUUUAAUAGAUAAUUUUAUAAAAAACUGAUAAACGGCGGUCUUAUUGUGAGGAUCCGAAGGUAGCGGUGCGACAAGAAGCUCGUAAUAGGAAUGUGUUGAGAGAACACAAUUAACAAUCAUAUUUAAUUAACCUACUUUGACAUGCAUAAGGAGUAAUCUUUCUGUGUGAAGCUCAAAGGACAACGACUAUAAGCUUUAGCUGAUAUAAGUGAAUUAGGCUAGGUUAGAACAACAUGGUUAGUAUAUCGAAAUAGUGGAAUUUAAAAUCUCGUUAGAGGAAAAGUAACAUAAUCAGCUUAGUUACUAUGUGAUUUGGGGUAUUUUGACGCUACGGAAAUACCUAUAUGAUUUAAAAUUAAAAAAAUCACCGGGAUAUAGCUAUGACCUAAAUUGUUCAUUAAAGUCCUAUUACGGGAACUUGGUAAGCCUUAUAUCCCCUUAUAUCAACCUGUUUUAGGUAAAAUAUAAGAAGUAAUCUAUAAAAUUAAAUUAACACUUAAUGGAAAUUAUUAUAAAGGAUAUAAGGUAAAGGAUAAAUAUAAAAAGCUAAUGACUUAAUGUAAUGUUAGGUAUAGAGUAAUACUUAAUCUGAAAAGAUGCUGACUUAUAUAUAAAGCUAUUGAAUUGCAAUUUAUGUGGGAGUAGUUGCGUUAAAUCUCUAUGUAUUUCAGAAAGUCUAUUCCUAGACAGAAAACUUAGACCCAGAUUUACGAUAUAUUUAUUAAAAUAUAUCUAUAGAGUUAGAAAUAACUUAAAAAAAAAAUAUAUUAUAAAAAAAAUGAAAAGAACUAUAAACACAAUUAACUGAAAUUUAAUUGACUGAAAGCAAAUAAAAGCUCAAGUCUAUAAGUUACAAUUAAAGAUUGUAACAACUAAUUCAAAUGGAGACUUUAAGAAGGUUAAAGAAUUAUCGUUACAAAAAUCAUUAGUUAGAACUCAUAUAGCUAGAUUAUUAGCUAUAAAUAAUGUAUUAUCUUCAAAAGGAAGUCAAACUCCUGGAAUUGAUGGCUUUAUUGUCAAAAAUGAUGAAGAUAAAUAUCAUUUAUAUGAAUUCUUGAAACAAAUUAAUAAGUAUGAAGCGUUACCUGUCAAAAGAGUGGAAAUAUCAAAAGGAAAUGGUAAAACAAUACCUCUAGGUAUUCUCUCUAUCCAAGAUAGAUGUAUGCAAAGUUUAUUUGCACUUGCAUUAUUUCCAUAUGCUGAAAUAAAAGCUGACUAUACUUCUUAUGGAUUUAGACCAAAUAGAUCAACAAAUGAUGCCAUAUAUAUAUUAUAUAAGAGUCAAUUCAUAAAAAAUGACAUACAUCCUAAAGUAAACUGAGUGUUAAAUGGAAAUAUCAAGGGUUUCUUUGAUAACAUUUUUAAUGAAUGAAUAAUAGAGAACAUACCUAUUGAAAAGAAAGUAUUAAAAAAAUUAAUUAAAGCAGGUUUCAUAGAAGCGGGCUUUAGUGAAAUACAAUCUACAGAUUUAGGAGUAUCACAAGGUGGAAUAAUUUCACCUAUGAUUGCUAAUAUGACUCUAGAUGGAUUAUCAGCUUACAUAAAAGAAGGUCUUAAAAAGAAAGGUAUUUAUGAUAACUUGAUUAAUAAGACACGUGUUAUUAGAUAUGUUGAUGAUUUUGUAAUUAUAUGUCCUCAUAAGUGGGUUGCUGAAAGAUGUCUUAGCUUAACUAAGAAUUUUCUGGAAGUAAGAGGUCUAAAUUUAGAUAAAACAAAGAUAGUUGAUUUAUCGAAAGAUAGGUUAGAUUAUUUAGGUUUUUCUAUUAUAAGAACUAAUCAGAAUACUAAAACAUUAAUAAUACCUAACCCAGAUAAAGUUAAAGUAUUUAUUAAUAAAGUACUUAAUAUUAUCAAAGGUUGCAACACACCUAAAGAGAUAAUUACUAAACUUAACCCUGUUUUACAAGGUUGAGCUAAUUAUUACAAAGGUUGCUCAGCUUCUACUACUUUUAAUAAGGUACAUAUGAGCAUACAUGAAGGUUUAUUAAAAUGAGGUAAGAAAAGGUUAUUAACCAGAUCUAAUAAAAUAGUAUAUGAUAAAUAUUUUAAAAGUAUAGAUAAAAAUUCGAAAGAGUUAUAUUUUUACUAUAUAGAUCAUCAAGGAAAAGAGGUAAAAUUAUAUGAUAUAAAAGCUAUUAAGAUUAUAUACCAUAAAUACAAUAUUAAACCUUAUUUCAAAACUAAUGAAUAAAGUUAUGAUUAUUAUAAUGAUUAUGAUAAUGAUAAUCUCUCUAAAAUAUUCGAAUGAUGAAAGUCAUGGCGGUCUUUAUUGAACCGUUUUCAAUAGUUUGAGCCGUAUGCAGUGAAAGUUGCACGUACGGUUCUCGAGGGGGGAAAGCUUGUGAGAGCCUACCUAUCCUAACAAAUUCAUUGACGUAUAAUUGACGUCCUGCAUGAAUGAAUAUACGAUGCGAUAACUGUAUCCAAAGUAGACUCAGUGAAAUAGCAAUUGCGGUGAAGAUGCCGUAUAUCCGUAGGUUGACAAAAAGACCCUAUGCAGCUUUACUAUAUCUUUAUUUUGAUUUUUAAUCAUAAUAAAAUUAUGAUUAGCCUUUUUUCAUUUAUUUCAGUAGAUUAGGUUAUAUUUAUAUUUUAAAUCAAAUGAGAUACCUAUAUAUUUGAAAAAAGAAUCUAAUUAAUAUAGUCAAAAUUCUAUAAUAUAGAAUGUUAGUUAUACUAAUUGACUUAAGUUUAACUUAUUUAAGAAAGAGUAAAGAGGUUAGUUUCGAUGGGGCGUCGACAUCAGCGAAAGCAUCUGAUGUGUCUAAUAACAAUGAUCUUGAUUAGAUUUAAUAAUUAAGACUAAAUGUUUAAUUAAAUUUAUUAUUUAAUAGUAAAUAACGUACAAUAAUUCUAUAUGGUAAAUAGAAUAUAAUAUUAUAAGUAAGGAUAACAACAUAAUUGUGCGAUGAUAAUAACACUAACAAGUGGAAUUAGUACUUACGUAGAGUGUAGUGAACAGGCAUAAACAAAUGGUAUGGAUGUCGAUAACGGAUUAACCGCGUGAGAGUUGAUAUCGUCAGCGGUGUUUGCCACCUCGAUUAAUAACGAUAGUCGAGUAUAAAUAGGUUAAAUUGCAAGAAAUCUAAGGUUUUAUCUAUGAUGAUUUGCAGCGAAUUAUUAUUUAUAUGAAUAAUAUAUUUAUAUUAUAAAAAUAAUAAACGUUCAACGACUAGUAGGUGAGUACAUAUAACAAUAUCCUACCAAGAAAUACCUAUAAAAUUUUUAUUUUAUUUUUAUUUUAUAUAAGAAAUUUAUUAUUAUAUAUGCUUGCCCCCAGCUAAGCUUCAGGCUAUUAUUUAUUCCUACACUUCGAGGAUUCAGUGUUUUACCUGAUUUAUCCAGAGCCUGAUUUAUUCAGGUAAUUUAUUUCGUUAGGUUAAAUAUAAAUAUUAAAAUAUCUACAAAAAUGGAAAACAUAUAUUGUCAAAAUAAUUACUAAUUUGAAAGUUAAAUCAACCAGAUUUAACACAAAAACAAUUAAAUAUAUUAAUUGGUAUGAUUUUAAGUGAUGCUUGUAUUAUAAAAGAUAAUAAAUAUCCUUAUAUUUAAUUUGAGCUAGGAUAUCAACAAAUAGAAUUUAUACAAACUUUAUUUGAUAUAUUUAAAACUCAUACUUUUAGUGAUAAAAUUAGUAUAAGAAAGAAAAAGAUAUAAUACAUAGUUAUUGAUUAAAAACUUUUUCUCAUCGAAUAUUUGAAAUAAUAUAUAAUCUAUUCUAUAUUUCUUCUUUAGGAGAAAAAACGAAUAAAAAAAUAAUUAAACCAAAUUUAAUUAUUGAUUAUGUAAAUGAAUAAUCAUUAGCUUAUUGAAUAAUGGGAGAUGUAAUUUUACAUAAAAGAGAUAAAAUAUAUAGUUUAGAUACUGAAGGUUUUACCUUUGAUGAAUGUAAAAUUGAAUUAAAUUAAAUUAAAAUAGUAGUGUUAGAAUAUCUAGAAAAACGAAUAAAAAAAUAGAUAUAAAUAAGUUUUUAGAACUAAUGAUACUAAAUUAAUAAGUAAAUUAAUUAAAGCAUAUAUAAUAAAAUCUUUGGAAUAAAAAAUAAUAUAAAAAUAAAUAAAAAUUUUAAAGACAUAGUCUGAACAAUAAUGAAAAUUAUUGAAGUUAAUAAUAAAGAUGUUAACGAUAACAAAUUGGUCGUCUAGACUCGUCCUCCUGGUCGCAGCAACUAGGUAGGGUAGGACUGUUCGUCCUCUAAGGAGUUACUUGAGAUGGGUUAAUUACGACGUGAGUCAGUAAUGAUUUUAUCAUCUAUGGAUUUUUUACUUAUCUGUUGCCUUAAGUGUACGCAAGGAUAAUAAGGUACAUUCCUAUGGUUAAUAAAAUAUUUUAGCUAAGAAUGUUGUGUUUACAUAUUGAAUGCAUAUCAAAUAUAAAAUCCUUCAGAUAAGUUUAUACAUUAUAGACUAUAAUGUAUUAGUUAAUUUGUAAUAUUGCAAAUAUACUAAUUAAUUAACUCAUAUUUUAUAAUUAUGAGUAUUAAAACAUAUACCU